AGUUAACUUUGAGAUGAUGCCUCUAUCAUUUCAUUUACAUAUCAAAGAUUAAUGUUUCACUUGGGCCCUGGGUAUCUGAGGCACUAGAUGUUAUUUAAGACAUCAAUGGGUCAUUAUGAAAGCAGAGCUGAUAAAGAAAGGUAGAUGCCAUUGUAAUCUAGUGAUCUUUACAGCACAACAAGUUCCCCUGAAGUUGGAAAUCUAACCACGUUCCACAAGGAAAGCACAUGGCUUAGGGAAAUUGGAAGUCCGCUGGGUCCAGAAGGACUACAGUCAGAGGUAACCACAUUGGAACCUGUUUACAUGGUCACCAGCCUGCAAAUGAGUGUUAUCUAAAGAGAGAAGAUGCUUGAAGUAUCAGAACCAUCAAAAGCUGAAAAUAGCCCACAAUUCAUCACAGGAUUCAAGAAGAGGAACCUACAAAUAGCAAAGAACAGGAAUUCCUGUGAGCAUUCCUCUUCAAGAUGGAAGAAAAAGGGAAUAUUUCACAACCCCAAUGGUGAAACGUCUGCCUAUAGCCAACAAUACAAUCUUCUUGCUCUGUCACCCAGGCUGAAAUGCAGUGGCGCCAUCUCGUCUCACUCGGCUCACUACAACCUCCGCCUCCCGGGUUCAAGCAAUUCUUGUGCCUCAGUCACCCAAGUAGCUAGAAUUACAGUCAUGCGUCACCAUGCCCAGCUAAUUUUUUUAUUUUUAGUAGAGACAUGUUUCACCAUGUUGCCAAGGCUGGUCUGGAAUUCCUCGCCUCAAGUGAUCCGCCCACCUCAGCCUCCCAAAUUGUUGGGAUUACAGACGUGAGCCACUGUGCUCAGCCCACAAUUACUUUUAAAAUAAAUCAAGAGCCUUUUAUACUUGUGUAA
ensembl:lncRNA novel transcript